GACUAUACGGUCGCGGGAACGGAGAAAAACCGUUAAUGAGGAAAGUCCGAGCGUUUCAGAAACAGGGUGCCGGAGAAAUCCCGGUGAAGGCGACUUUAAGGAAAGUGCAACAGAAAGUACCGCCGUAUCUUUACGGUAAGGUUGAAAAGGCGAGGUAAGAGCUCACCGCUCCUUCGGUAACGCGGGAGGCAAUGUAAACCCCACCCGACGCAAGAUUGACAAACCGUUUUAUGGGAGUUUCGCCGAAACGGUUUAAUAAAAUAUCGCUGGGGGACGACGGUAACGUCGUUCGUAGAUAAAUGACCGUACACGACAGAACUCGGCUUACAGGUCUUCUUA
rnacentral:RNase_P_RNA from 1 species